UUCCCGGAUUUGAAGGAUGCAUCAGCUGUAUCCUUCACGGCCCAACGUAUCCAAAGAUCCUUCACGGCCCAACGUAUCCCUCCCAAGAUUCAUUGCGCACUCAAUCAAUGGAGAUGGCGGAGAAUGGCGAUUUAAGUUUUGCAUUUAAAUGACAAUUCUGGAGAAAAUAGGCCUGCAGGGGAAGGUGACUCCCCUGCAGGCAAAGAAAAAAUGGGACAAUUUAAAAUAAAUAAAUAAAGAUUGCAAGUAUCCAGGGUCAGGAGAGGGGGUAGGUGGGAAACCAACUGCUGCCACUUGGCCCUGGUUUGUCCCCAUGGAUAAGGUAUUGGGACAGAGGCAUUCCACCAACCCCCCUGUCCUAAUUGCCUCCAUCCCUGAGAACACACCACGGCCAAGUACAGCAUUGGUGGAGGACAAGGAUCAGGAGGAGGAAAGACAGCGAGGGCCAAGGUCCAGAAAGAGGGACAGAGAGGAAGACAUGUUCCAGAGUCGCUCACUAUCUUCCGAAAAGGACUCAAGACUCACCUGUUCAGAGUCCACCUCGACUCUGCAUAGCCACCCUCCCCCUUCUGGCCACCAUUGUACACUGUGUUGUAUUGUAUUGUAUUAUAGUACUUAACUGUGUAGCAACUGCAGUAGCUGCUAUUAUGGCACAGGGAAUUGAUUAGCCUAGCGAUUGUGGUACUUGCACUUUGUUCUAUGAACAUCCUUUCUGUACCGACAGCGAUAUAUAGAUGCACUUCUUAUGACAAAUGUACUUAUUGUAAGUCGCUUUGGAUAAAAGCGUCUGCUAAAUGCCCUAAAUGUAAAAUGUAAAUGUUCCAGUUAAUAAAGAGGACAUGAGGCUACAAAGGGAGGAGAGAAGAGCCCAGGAGAGCAGGGAAAGAAUGGAUAGGUUUUUCUCAAUUUUGGAGCGUUUGGUGGACAAAUAACUUAUGUUCUUUUAUAUUUAACACAUUGUUUAUUAUUAUUUACAUAUUUAUUGAAACUAACUUAUUUAACUAUUUAUUAACUAACUAUUUAACUAACUUUUUUUGUAUUGACUAAUGUAGUCGUAUAUAACUUAUAAAACAUAUAUAAAAUAAAACUAUUUACAAC
ensembl:lncRNA